rnacentral:misc_RNA from 1 species
UAUGUAGGUGGCAAGCGUUAUCCGGAAUUAUUGGGCGUAAAGCGCGCGUAGGCGGUUUUUUAAGUCUGAUGUGAAAGCCCACGGCUCAACCGUGGAGGGUCAUUGGAAACUGGAAAACUUGAGUGCAGAAGAGGAAAGUGGAAUUCCAUGUGUAGCGGUGAAAUGCGCAGAGAUAUGGAGGAACACCAGUGGCGAAGGCGACUUUCUGGUCUGUAACUGACGCUGAUGUGCGAAAGCGUGGGGAUCAAACAGG